rnacentral:rRNA from 1 species
CCAGUGCAUCGAUGAAGAACGCAGCAAACUGCGAUACGUAGUGUGAAUUGCAGAAUUCAGUGAAUCAUCGAGUUUUUGAACGCAAAUGGCGCUUCUGGUCUUGCCAGGAGCACGUCUGUCUGAGCGUUU